rnacentral:rRNA from 1 species
GGGUUGUGAGGUUAAGCGACUAAGCGUACACGGUGGAUGCCCUGGCAGUCAGAGGCGAUGAAGGACGUGCUAAUCUGCGAUAAGCGUCGGUAAGGUGAUAUGAACCGUUAUAACCGGCGAUUUCCGAAUGGGGAAACCCAGUGUGUUUCGACACACUAUCAUUAACUGAAUCCAUAGGUUAAUGAGGCGAACCGGGGGAACUGAAACAUCUAAGUACCCCGAGGAAAAGAAAUCAACCGAGAUUCCCCCAGUAGCGGCGAGCGAACGGGGAGCAGCCCAGAGCCUGAAUCAGUGUGUGUGUUAGUGGAAGCGUCUGGAAAGGCGCGCGAUACAGGGUGACAGCCCCGUACACAAAAAUGCACAUGCUGUGAGCUCGAUGAGUAGGGCGGGACACGUGGUAUCCUGUCUGAAUAUGGGGGGACCAUCCUCCAAGGCUAAAUACUCCUGACUGACCGAUAGUGAACCAGUACCGUGAGGGAAAGGCGAAAAGAACCCCGGCGAGGGGAGUGAAAAAGAACCUGAAACCGUGUACGUACAAGCAGUGGGAGCACAGAGCAAUCUGUGUGACUGCGUACCUUUUGUAUAAUGGGUCAGCGACUUAUAUUCUGUAGCAAGGUUAACCGAAUAGGGGAGCCGAAGGGAAACCGAGUCUUAACUGGGCGUUAAGUUGCAGGGUAUAGACCCGAAACCCGGUGAUCUAGCCAUGGGCAGGUUGAAGGUUGGGUAACACUAACUGGAGGACCGAACCGACUAAUGUUGAAAAAUUAGCGGAUGACUUGUGGCUGGGGGUGAAAGGCCAAUCAAACCGGGAGAUAGCUGGUUCUCCCCGAAAGCUAUUUAGGUAGCGCCUCGUGAAUUCAUCUCCGGGGGUAGAGCACUGUUUCGGCAAGGGGGUCAUCCCGACUUACCAACCCGAUGCAAACUGCGAAUACCGGAGAAUGUUAUCACGGGAGACACACGGCGGGUGCUAACGUCCGUCGUGAAGAGGGAAACAACCCAGACCGCCAGCUAAGGUCCCAAAGUCAUGGUUAAGUGGGAAACGAUGUGGGAAGGCCCAGACAGCCAGGAUGUUGGCUUAGAAGCAGCCAUCAUUUAAAGAAAGCGUAAUAGCUCACUGGUCGAGUCGGCCUGCGCGGAAGAUGUAACGGGGCUAAACCAUGCACCGAAGCUGCGGCAGCGACGCUGAUGCGUUGUUGGGUA